AGUGAACGCUGGCGGUAGGCCUAACACAUGCAAGUCGAACGGCAGCACAGUAAGAGCUUGCUCUUACGGGUGGCGAGUGGCGGACGGGUGAGGAAUACAUCGGAAUCUACUUUUUCGUGGGGGAUAACGUAGGGAAACUUACGCUAAUACCGCAUACGACCUACGGGUGAAAGCAGGGGAUCUUCGGACCUUGCGCGAUUGAUUGAGCCGAUGUCGGAUUAGCUAGUUGGCGGGGUAAAGGCCCACCAAGGCGACGAUCCGUAGCUGGUCUGAGAGGAUGAUCAGCCACACUGGAACUGAGACACGGUCCAGACUCCUACGGGAGGCAGCAGUGGGGAAUAUUCGACAAUGGGCGCAAGCCUGAUCCAGCCAUACCGCGUGAGUGAAGAAGGCCUUCGGGUUGUAAAGCCCUUUUGUUGGGAAAGAAAAGCAGCAGGUUAAUACCCCGCUGUUCUGACGGUACCCAAAGAAUAAGCACCGGCUAACUUCGUG
rnacentral:rRNA from 1 species